AACUUCAAAAUUUCGGAUCCCUACCUCCUCGUGGUACUGGCCGGGGUACGAGUAAAAUUGGGAAGAUCGGGUAACCAACCCCCGGUGGGAACUUUGGUCGUAUGCUGACAGGGAAGG
rnacentral:ribozyme from 1 species